GGGGAUAUAGCUCAGUUGUUAGAGUGCUUACCUCACAUGCACAAGGCCCUGGGUCUAAGCCCCAACAUCCCCA
rnacentral:tRNA from 1 species